CUGAAGGCAAUGUCUCUCUAUGCCUCCUCCAGCAAACACAGCCCAGGAAGUGGAAGCUGGUAGGGACUUAAGCAGAAGCUGAUCCGGAUGAACAAGCGCUUCACUUCCUGACUUAACCUCUGUGUGCCGCCCUGAGUGACAUGGUCAUCCAGAGAUGGUCCAGAAACAGCAGCUGGUCCAGCAGGCCCGCAACAAGCACUAACUGACCAAGGAGAAAACAUCUUUGGCUGGAAUGGGGUGAAGAGGCUGUGCGUUCUCCUUGGAAACUGACAGGCUCUGCAGAAGGAAGAUCUGUGUGAAGUUUACAGAAUCCACCAGCAGCCAAGUCACCCUGCAUUGAUACAGAGAAAGCUGCCUUCCUGUUUCUUAUCAUUCCCAGUCCCCAGAUCAGAGCUGACACCAGAUCAAAAUCCUAGACCUUGGGUUUAUCUAAGGACCUCUAUAGGUCCUUUCUUUUCUUCUAUCCCUCGUACUUCCCUUCCUACAGUGAGCAAUCCAGUCUGACUUCAUGGAAUUUACAGUCUAGGAAGGAAGAUGAUAGAACAUAAAGUCAUCAAUAGGAAAAGUCCUCUGAAGGAAAUGAACUUCCUUCCACGUAGGAGGUGGAGAGCGACUGAGGACAGGGUCUGAGGCGGGGUGUAUGGGAAGGCUGCUCCGAUAUAGGUCCUGAGGCUGCA